GGUGCCUCUACAAUGGAUUCUGGGUUUGAUUUAAUCAAAUUCGAUUUUAUGGGUUCACUAGAUUAUGUCGGUUCUUUUACUUGUUGAACUUUAUAAGUUUCAUAUUAAAGGUAUCAGUUCCUUCAUCAAAGUACUCCUUUUCUAAAAGGAAUGCCAAACAACUCUUAUUCUUUAGCAUGAUAGAACUUAUAUCCCCUAUAUUCUUUGUAGUUAUCCUACA
rnacentral:lncRNA from 1 species